AAAAGUGAGACACAAACACACACAUCAGCGUAGACCUACACAGGGUCAGAAUCAUCAAGACAUUACUAAGUGAUAGGAAUUUUUCGGCUUCACUAUAAUCUUAUGGGACCACCAUUGUAGAUGCAGUCCAUCAUUGACCAAAAUGUUGUUUUGCAGCACGUGAUGGUAUAUCUGCUUUUCUGGGUCUAAGAUGAGUGACACUGAAUUGUUGAAGGAUGAGGAAGAUGUUCUGGAUCAAAUAAAUAAUGCUGCAGAGAAGAUUAAACCAACAGAACUCAGAAACAACUGUUACACGUCAGGAAAAGGAAGAGGAACCAACAAAGAAGACUUAGAAGCAGCGGCCAAUGCAACAGGAAAAUAACCCGGGGAAUGUAGAAUCCUGAAAGCCAUGGAAGGAAUGCCUCCAGUUUCAAAGGAAAAAGAUAAGCAAACUUACGCUCAAAGAAGCUGAGACAUUGUUGACUCUCUUCUACCUGCCCCUCUGGUCUGGCCCAAUCUUCCCAGUGAUAGCAAGAACAGAGACAACACCAUCAACAAGCUUCCUGGGUGAUUCCAUUCUUGGCUGCCCAUCAGACACAAAUCUAGGGGAAUUAUGCUCCACCCUUUCCUGGCCUAAGGGUUUCCUCCCUACAUGUCUUUUGUUGUUAGUAGAAUAAGCAAUCUAAUGGGACAAUAAACUUAAAAUCUAUAUUAAAUAAACUUGGGAAGCAACAGGACUGUAGGAUCCCAAAAUUAUUAAAUAUGCAUGUUUGAAUUAAUAUAGUCAUAUAAGAUAAUCCAAUUUUCUUCUUUUUUUAAUUACAUAAUUUUUACUCGAUAUGUUUGUCAGCUGACUAUACCAACCCCAGACAAAUCCUAAAGUGUUGCCUUGACCUAAUUAGAUAUGUCUUCAAUUAUUUGCUUUGUCAUUUAGUUACAAUAUUUGGAAAAUGAGUUUGUGUCCCAGACUAUUCUAUAGGCGACUGGGUAGCUCACCUUCUUUUGUCAAUAACCUUAGUAACUGUUUUUGUUGUAUGUUAAUGAAAUUAUAUUAUGCUUUCAUAAUAAAACUUUUGCAAGUAACCAAAUAUUUACUUCAUUGCAGUAGCUUGUUAAGAGCUAUCUAUUGGUAUCCCACUGACUUGUUUCAUUAUUUUUCCACUUCCUUUACACAAUUCAUUGUAUUUUGGUGAAGUCUGUUUUUCUAAGAUUGUUAAAUCUUCAUUUUGAAAAGCUAAACUGGACUUAGAAAAUAUGAAUACAUUUUAUUGACAAGUUCAAUUCUUAUUGUUUUAAUCUGUUUUUGUGGUAAACAUUUGCUGAUUUCUGCUCUUUUGAUCUAUUCCUGUUUCUUUUCUUAACAACAUUUUCCUCGAUGGUUCAAUCUUUCUUCUGUGCUUGGCCUCUGCCAUUAUAGUACUAUUUAUUCCAGCUAUGAUUUCAGGGGCACUUAUCAGACUCCAGCAUGACCAGUCAGACUACUGCCUUCUACUGGCCACAGUAAUUUGUCGAAAGAUUGGAAUGUGACCCAGUCAUAGCUAAUAAAACAUUGUAAGGAUUUUGGUAGACUGCUGGAGAAGAAAAAUGUGUUCUUUUUCACUGGCCAUGAACUUGGAAGGAUAUGACUUUGGAUCUGUUGUAGUUUUCAUGACAUCGUGAUGGAAAAACUGAUCCGAAGAUGGAGCCAUAACAUAGAAAGUAGCAAUGGAUAGAGAAAAAAUACAUCUCAUUGAUAUAUAUUUAACCUUGGUUCUAACUAUAUAUGUCUAUGUCUUGGUUCCAACAAUCUCAUCUAUGUCUUGCAACUUUUGUUUAUUAAUUCAAUGAAUUUAUCUCCCCCACUGUUUUCCUCUCCUUAAUUCAGCUUUACUUGGGUGCCCUUUGAUUUGCAGCUGAUGUAAUGCACACUUGGACCAAGUGUGCGUGGUACUCAUGACAUAAAUGCUUAAAGGCAUCAGAGCUUAGUACGCGGGGGAAAUAACUGAACUAUAAUUUAGUCGAUUUAAUUGACUUCUUGCUAUUUACAAUAUCGGGGCAAUUAGGCAAGAGAAAGAA